UACGUAGGGGGCAAGCGUUGUCCGGAUUUAUUGGGCGUAAAGAGCGUGUAGGCGGUUCGGUAGGUCCGUUGUGAAAACUCGAGGCUCAACCUCGAGACGCCGAUGGAAACCAUCGAACUAGAGUCCGGAAGAGGAGAGUGGAAUUCCUGGUGUAGCGGUGAAAUGCGCAGAUAUCAGGAAGAACACCCGUGGCUAAGGCGGCUCUCUGGGACGGUACUGACGCUGAGACGCGAAAGCGUGGGGAGCGAACAGG
rnacentral:rRNA from 1 species